CCAGACUCCUACGGGAGGCAGCAGUGAGGAAUAUUGGUCAAUGGGAGGAAUCCUGAACCAGCCAUGCCGCGUGCAGGACGACGGCUCUACGAGUUGUAAACUGCUUUUGUACCGGGGUAAAAUGCCCUACGAGUAGGGUUUUGAAAGUACGGUACGAAUAAGGAUCGGCUAACUCCGUGCCAGCAGCCGCGGUAAUACGGAGGAUCCGAGCGUUAUCCGGAUUCAUUGGGUUUAAAGGGUGCGUAGGUUGUUAAUUAAGUCAGCGGUGAAAGUUUGUGGCUCAACCAUAAAAUUGCCGUUGAAACUGGUUGACUUGAGUAUAUUUGAGGUAGGCGGAAUGCGUGGUGUAGCGGUGAAAUGCAUAGAUAUCACGCAGAACUCCGAUUGCGAAGGCAGCUUACUAAACUAUAACUGACACUGAAGCACGAAAGCGUGGGGAUCAAACAGGAUUAGAUACCCCCGUAU
rnacentral:rRNA from 1 species